GACGAACGCUGGCGGCGUGCUUAACACAUGCAAGUCGAACGGUGAAGCUCCAGCUUGCUGGAGUGGAUCAGUGGCGAACGGGUGAGUAACACGUGAGCAACCUGCCCCUGACUCUGGAAUAAGCGCUGGAAACGGCGUCUAAUACUGGAUACGAGAAGGGUCCGCAUGGGCACUUUCUGGACAGUUUUUCGGUUGGGGAUGGGCUCGCGGCCUAUCAGCUUGUUGGUGAGGUAAUGGCUCACCAAGGCGACGACGGGUAGCCGGCCUGAGAGGGCGACCGGCCACACUGGGACUGAGACACGGCCCAGACUCCUACGGGAGGCAGCAGUGGGGAAUAUUGCACAAUGGGCGAAAGCCUGAUGCAGCGACGCCGCGUGAGGGAUGACGGCCUUCGGGUUGUAAACCUCUUUCAGCAGGGAAGAAGCGAAAGUGACGGUACCUGCAGAAGAAGCACCGGCUAACUACGUG
rnacentral:rRNA from 1 species